rnacentral:misc_RNA from 1 species
UAUUUCCCUCAGGAUGUUAAUUUGUGGAAACUUAUGGGGGAUUUUAAUCUCCUUGGUAUUACAGUGCCAGAGGAGUAUGGGGGACUUGGCCUUGGUUAUUUGUAUCACUGCAUAGCCAUGGAAGAGAUCAGUCGAGCAUCAGGGUCAGUUGGCCUAUCUUAUGGUGCCCACACAAACCUAUGCAUUAAUCAGUUGGUUAGAAAUGGAACCCAUGAGCAGAAACAAAAGUUUCUACCAAAGCUAAUCAGUGGUGAGCAUGUGGGGGCUCUAGCUAUGAGUGAACCUAAUGCUGGAUCAGAUGUUGUUAGCAUGAAGUGCAAAGCUGACCAUGUUGAGGGUGGUUAUGUUCUGAAUGGAAACAAAAUGUGGUGCACAAAUGGUCCAACGGCUCAGACGCUGGUUGUUUAUGCAAAAACGGAUGUCACAGCCGGUUCAAAAGGAAUCACAGCAUUCAUUAUCGAGAAGGAAAUGACAGGAUUCUCUACUGCCCAGAAAUUAGACAAACUUGGGAUGCGAGGAAGUGACACAUGUGAGCUUGUGUUUGAGAACUGUUUUGUUCCUGAAGAAAAUGUUCUGGGGCAAGUAGGAAAAGGUGUUUAUGUCCUGAUGUCGGGGCUUGAUCUGGAAAGACUUGUUUUGGCAUCUGGUCCUGUUGGAAUUAUGCAAGCUUGUCUUGAUGUUGUUCUCCCCUAUGUUAAACAACGCGAACAAUUUGGUCGACCGAUUGGAGAAUUUCAAUUUGUGCAGGGAAAAGUUGCUGACAUGUAUACAUCUAUGCAAUCUUCAAGGUCUGGUGUUCUUUAUUGUCACACUUCUUGUCCAU